GGGGCUGACUGGCUUUGACAGCGUGCAGAAGCGGUGUGUAAGCGUGCAGAGCUUUGUAGCCUAUGCUCUUUAAUAUCAGGUUGCGAUUCUUUUAAAUGGCGAAAACAACUACGCUCUUGCUGCCUAAUCGAAGUACAGUAGAUUAGCUUAAUCGCCGCAAAAGUUGCAGCGACAAGACAUCGCCCGACGGUCCUUUUUCCGAGACUUGUCGACCCGGCGGUGCAGGAAUAUCGGAAAUAGGAAGCCCGGCGUCCCGGAAGGCUUCCGAAAUCUUAGGGACUAAGGCCGCAGUUGGUGGUUUCAGGCCUGCCACGGCUCGAAAAUCAACUUGAGACUACGCACGUAGAAAGCUCAUUGAUUCCACGUUUGGACGAGGGUUCAAUCCCCUCCAGCUCCACU
rnacentral:tmRNA from 1 species